AACGGGGACGCUGAAAACCGAAAACAGAGUAAGCA
rnacentral:ncRNA from 1 species